GACGAACGCUGGCGGCGUGCUUAACACAUGCAAGUCGAGCGACGCUCUUCCUUCGGGGAGAUGACGGAGCGGCGAACGGGUAAGUAACACGUGGGCAACCUGCCCCUAGCUCUGGGACAACACCGGGAAACCGGUGCUAAUACCGGAUACGACAUCGAGCGGCAUCUCUCGAUGUGGAAAGUUUUUUCGGCUAGGGAUGGGCCCGCGGCCAAUCAGCUUGUUGGUGGGGUAAUGGCCCACCAAGGCGACGACGGGGAGCCGGCCAGAGAGGGCGACGGGCCGCUCUGGGCGAGAGGCACGGCCCAGACUCCUACGGGAGGCAGCAGUAGGGAAUAUUGCGCAAGGGGCGAAAGCCUGACGCAGCGACGCCGCGUGAGGGAUGACGGCCUUCGGGUAGUAAACCUCUUUCAGAAGGGACGAAUUCAGACGGUACCUGCAGAAGAAGCACCGGCCAACUACGUG
rnacentral:rRNA from 1 species